rnacentral:rRNA from 1 species
UACAGAGGGGGCAAGCGUUGUUCGGAAUUACUGGGCGUAAAGGGCGCGUAGGCGGCCGCCUAAGUCAGACGUGAAAUCCCUCGGCUCAACCGGGGAACUGCGUCUGAUACUGGGUGGCUUGAAUUCGGGAGAGGGAUGCGGAAUUCCAGGUGUAGCGGUGAAAUGCGUAGAUAUCUGGAGGAACACCGGUGGCGAAGGCGGCAUCCUGGACCGAGAUUGACGCGUGAGGCGCGAAAGCCAGGGGAGCAAACGGG